CUAAACUGAGGAAAGUCGGCCGAAACUGAUCGACUCGAGGAACGCAGAGGGAAGCGGAACUCUCGGAGUAGCGGUGAAAUGCGUAGAGACCGAGAGGUACCCCGAUGGUGAAGACAGCUUCCUGGGCGUUUCCUGACGCUGAAGCACUAAGGCCAGGGGAGCGAAGGGGAUUAGAUACCCCCGUAGUCCUGGCUUCAAACGAUGUGGGCUUGGUGUCGGCCCCCGACAGAGGGUCGUUGCCGGAGCUAACGUGUUAAGCCCACCGCCUGGGGAUUACGUCCGCAAGGAUGAAACUCAAGGGAAUUGACGGGGGCCCACACAACCGGUGGAGCACGUGGUUUAAUUCGAUGAUAAGCGAAGAACCUUACCAGGGCUUGACCUAGCGGUAGUAGGAUCCUGAAAGGGAAACGACCUCAAGCUUUGCUUGAGGAGCC
rnacentral:rRNA from 1 species